CUGUUAGUUCAAAAGAUUGCUGCAGAGCACCAUGGUUCUGAUUUUGUUUUUGUGGAAGAGCCAAAUGCUAAAGAGGAACUGUGGAAGAUCAGGAAGGAGGCACUUUGGGCUGGUUUUGCCAUGGAACCUGAUCGUCAAGCUAUGAUAACGGAUGUUUGUGUUCCAUUGUCUGGACUUGCAGAAUGCAUAUCUGUAUCUAAGCAACUACUUGAUGC